UACGGAGGGUGCAAGCGUUGUUCGGAAUUAUUGGGCGUAAAGGGCAGGUAGGUGGUCUUGAAAGUCUGCUGUGAAAUCCCCGGGCUUAACUCGGGAAGUGCGGCAGAUACUCCAAGACUAGAGUGCUGGAGGGGUUCGUGGAAUUCCCGGUGUAGCGGUGAAAUGCAUAGAUACCACCCAGAACUCCGAUUGCGAAGGCAGCCUACUGGAGGUCAACCGACGCUCAGGCACGAAAGCGUGGGGAUCAAACAGG
rnacentral:rRNA from 1 species